UAGGGAAUAUAACAUCACCUAAUUUCAACCAAAUUAAUAUCUUUUGAUUUUGAUGAAGUUUAAAAUCUGGAUACUAUAUUCAUUGAAUCGAACAUGCGAUUGGAUGUAACCAUUGGAUAUUCUAACCUUACUAACCAAUGGUAAUUACUCCUACUAUAAGAACUGAUUGUAAACCCCUGAUGAAGUCCUAAUGGACGAAACGCGUUGGGUUUCGCAACAUCGGGUUAAUAAAGCCUUUAUUACAAGCAUCUGGUUGGAGAUACAUCCAUUUCAAUUUCUGACUGUGAUCACCUGACUGUAAAAUCCUCACAUCAACUGGAAUUUUUUUAUGUAUAAGACUGUAACAUUGUUUUAUUGAAUUUUUACAAAGUUGUA